GGGGUGUAUGGUGUGUGGUCAUUAAAUAUGUAUUUUGAUAUAUAUUCUUCACAGAAAAUGAGCCAAAGCCAGUGAGUCUGUUUGAAAAAUUAAUUAAUUGUAUCAUUUUUCUUUUAAUAAAAAUUGAAAACGGGUCCCACGGACCCGAACACCACACAAUAAUAUUUUAAUAUUUCAGAAUGCGUUUUUUUUGUUUGUUAUUGAAGUAUUGCGUUUGUGUGAGGUUUAUCUCAAGAGUUAUUUUUUGUUGAUUAUUUUAUUUUUACCUUUUCCUGUCAUGGCAUUCCGUAGUUUCCGCCCAUCUUUUGUAGCUCCUCCCCUUCCUCCUCACUUCCUGCUUGCGACGCUGCAGUAUGUUUAGUCCAAAUUGGUGCCGUGCUGUGUGUCGUUUUUUUAACAAAAACGAACGGUUUAUUUUUGUCAUUCUUGCCGUAUAUGGUUUACUUUUUAUGUACCCUUAAGAUAUCAAGUGUUUUUGUGUUACUUUAACCGCUAUUUUGAGCGCUACAAGUGUUUUGUUCGAGUGACCGUGUUGGCGCGAUUUGUUUGAAGCGGUCCUCUGUCAUGUCACGUGACCACAUUACGCAACCUGUGUCGCGUUGGUAAAAAGUAUGUUUCCUAUGUGCAGGAAGCAGAGCCGUACAAGGAGUCACCGAGAAGGACUUUAUAAUAAAAGCUCAUGGAAAGAAGUCCAUCGUGUGAUCGCUGCCGACAAACUCUUCACAAGUCCAGACCCGGGCCGCGAAUGUGCACAGGCUGAAAUCUGACUGGCGACUGGAUGAGUGCAAGGAAAAGGUGGGAGGUCUGCGUUUGUGCGGCGGGGUACUAGGUGCAUGGUCUUUGGAGGUGGGAGUCGAACCCCAGCACCCUUUUCGCUGUGAGGCAGGAGCGCUAACCAGUGGUUGCUGUCUUAGGUGUCAAACAGCAACACCCGUGUCACACAUCCAUACCUCCGUGUCUCCGCAGUGAGCCGUGCGCCUCACCUGCCGAUCUUCCCCCUGGACUCUGACUGCCUUCCUCGACCCCCGCACUCGGACCUGGACUUCUGGACGCCUCUCUCCUGCCCCCACGGACCUCGCUCGGAUCACGAACCUCUUUUGCUUCGCCCCUCUGGACUUCUUUGCUGCAACAACCAACACACACUUACAAUAACCUCUGGUAACUUAUAUUUGGUUAACUUCUACACAUAGCCCUGCAUCCACACACAUAGUAGCAUACACACCCUACGUAAUCAUCAAGCUCAAAUAAAACCCGUUGAGCUAGACCUCCUGCUGUCGUACCGUCUCCUUCCCCCUUCGUCUUACGUAACAGUACCGGUACCAAAAUGUAUUUUGAUACUUUUCUAAAAAAAAGGGUACCACAAAAAAUUGCAUUAU